UGGGCCGCUGGCUCCGCGUCGCCUGGGACGGCCUCCGCUUCGAGGUGGCCCUCAGGCUGGAGAGCCUCUCGGCGCGGCUGACGGCGACGCUGCUGCGGCUGCUGGU